rnacentral:rRNA from 1 species
CGCGUAGGCGGCUCGAUAAGUCAAAGGUGAAAUCCCUCGGCUCAACUGAGGAACUGCCUUUGAAACCGUCGAGCUCGAGUCCGGGAGGGGGUAGCGGAAUUCCCAGUGUAGCGGUGAAAUGCGUAGAUAUUGGGAGGAACACCAGUGGCGAAGGCGGCUACCUGGACCGGUUCUGACGCUGAUGCGCGAAAGCGUGGGUAGCAAACAG